GGGUCGGAAGUGUCUGAAGUAUCAAAUGAAGGACUCAACUACCAUAUAUCAGUAUUGUAUUAAUAUUACUGGUUGGUCAAGUGAUUCAGAUGUUGCUCAGUGGACACGCUUUCACGCGGAUUACAACAACAACCCAACAAAAAGCAUCUGAAAAGCGAAUAUCUCCUCACAGUCCGCCAGCUGGACUUCUGUGUGUGCUCGUGCACAGAUGAGGGGGAAAGGGAAUGACCCCGAUUGGCUGUUCAGUUUAAGCGAAUCGAUUGCACGAGGAGAGAAACGGACGUGAGGAAAACAAACGACUAAAGUCAAGAUGUCUCUGACUAAAAAGGUCCAGUCCCAAAAGAUCCACACUGCGCAGCACUGCGAGCUCUCAUCAUGUAUAAUGGCCUUAGCAGCUAAAUGAUUUCACAAUCUUAUCUGGGCCGCUAAUAAACCUGCCAGAGUUCA